UGGAGGUUACACAUCAUGCC
rnacentral:miRNA from 1 species